rnacentral:rRNA from 1 species
CAGUAGCCGCGGUAAUACGUAGGUGGCAAGCGUUGUCCGGAAUUAUUGGGCGUAAAGGGCUCGCAGGCGGUUUCUUAAGUCUGAUGUGAAAGCCCCCGGCUCAACCGGGGAGGGUCAUUGGAAACUGGGAAACUUGAGUGCAGAAGAGGAGAGUGGAAUUCCACGUGUAGCGGUGAAAUGCGUAGAGAUGUGGAGGAACACCAGUGGCGAAGGCGACUCCCUGGUCUGUAACUGACGCUGAGGAGCGAAAGCGCGGGGAGCGAACAGGAUUAGAUACCCCCGUAGUCCCUGUCUCUUAUAA